GUUUAAAUAGUUAAAUAAUAACAAUGAUUUUUCAGGUCAUCGUUUUAGGUGAAGACCUAAUUUAAAUA
rnacentral:tRNA from 1 species